rnacentral:rRNA from 1 species
UGGCGCACGGGUGCGUAACGCGUAACCAACCUACCCUUGACUGGGGGAUAGCCCGCCGAAAGGCGGAUUAAUACCGCAUAAAACCACAGGCCGGCAUCGGUUAAUGGUUAAAGAUUUAUUGGUCAAGGAUGGGGUUGCGUGCCAUUAGCUAGUUGGGGAGGUAACGGCUCACCAAGGCGACGAUGGCUAGGGGAGCUGAGAGGCUGGUCCCCCACACGGGCACUGAGAUACGGGCCCGACUCCUACGGGAGGCAGCAGUAGGGAAUAUUGGGCAAUGGCCGAGAGGCUGACCCAGCCAUGCCGCGUGCAGGAUGAAGGCUUUCUGAGUCGUAAACUGCUUUUGCCAGGGAAGAAUAAGGGGCAUGCGUGCUCCGACGACGGUACCUGGUGAAUAAGCACCGGCUAACUCCGUGCCAGCAGCCGCGGUAAUACGGAGGGUGCAAGCGUUGUCCGGAUUUAUUGGGUUUAAAGGGUGCGUAGGCGGCUUUUUAAGUCUGGGGUGAAAGCCCGUUGCUCAACAACGGAACUGCCCUGGAAAC